AGAGAAUACACAAAAAUACACAUUAGACCUAGACUAGACUCUAAGACCUAAGGGAAAAGGCUGAUCCACCGCAGAGACAUAGGAGACCCCCCUACCAGGUCAUUCUUCUUUAGCAGAAGAACUCCAUCAUUAGCCACUAAGCAGAGAACGCCCAACCUCUGGAUAAAAAAGGGAAAAAAAUUGGUCGUAAACCCCAACUUCAAAAACAGAAAUCGACCUUACCCAAUUCCCAAUUUCCAAGAGCCUCUCACGCACAUAUACCCCUGAAAACUAGUAAAAAUAGGAGUUCUUUGCACUAAACAACAACUCCAAAUGGCCCAGCAAUGAGGUUUAACGGAGGUCAUUUUUGUAUGGUCGUUGAGGUAUCGAGUCACCGGUUCUGUUCGAGUCUUCCGGUGUUGUUGUGGCUACUGUUCAAGUUUGAUUGCCGAUUCAUUUUCAAUAUUUGUACGCGGUUGGAAUUUUUUUCAAGUAAUUAUAUAUAGAUCCAAUCCUUAAGGUAAUGAUGAUGAUCUGCAUUUGAGGAAAAUGCUUAUCAAGAAGGGGAGAAUGAUACACCUCAAGGAACACCAAUGACAUUUAGGUCAUUCACAAUAUCUCAAUCUAAGGAACUAAGGGAUUUGCACCUCUUCACCAAGAAUUAGGAUAUCUUGGAAGCAUUGGAAGACAAUUGUGGAAAGCUCUUGAAGGCAUACAAUGUGUUGAGGGUGAAGGUCUUGGAGGAGCAUGGAGACCACGUAGGCUACGUGGAUGAAGUCGUAGCAUAUGCCCCUAUGCCCACGUGGAAGGCCAUGCCUACGUAGAUGUAGGCGCACAUGUGUGCUCCCUUGAUGACUUGGAUGCAAGUAUGUGGACAUGGGCCAUGUUUUCCAAUGAUUGCAGACUUGGGUUAUAAGAUUUCCCAUGUGGGCAUAGUAGUUAGACCCAUUAGGGGUACUUAUAUCUUUCUUGCCUUAUUUGGACCUAUUAUAAAUAAUAUAUGAUGAGGUCAUUUCUAGUUUAGCUUAUCUUUGAAUAUUUAAGAAUUGUGAGAAGCAUGUAUUUCCAACUUGUUGAUUCAAACUCUUGCAAGGUGUAUUCACAAUAAUUUCUCUUG